ensembl:lncRNA
UGUUCCAUGUGGUGUGUGUGUGUUCCAUGUGGUGUGUGUGUGUGUUCCAUGUGGUGUGUGUGUGUUCCAUGUGGUGUGUGUGUGUUCCAUGUGGUGUGUGUGUGUGUUCCAUGUGGUGUGUGUGUGUGUUCCAUGUGGUGUGUGUGUGUGUGUUCCAUGUGGUGUGUGUGUUCCAUGUGGUGUGUGUGUUCCAUGUGGUGUGUGUGUGUGUUCCAUGUGGUGUGUGUGUUCCAUGUGGUGUGUGUGUUCCAUGUGGUGUGUGUGUUCUGUGGUGUGUGUGGGGUGUCUGGCCGCCCAGUGGACGUGAAUGACAAUUAGAUUAAAGUAUUGAUCCAGUCUGGAGCAGGUAUGUGUGGCCAGUAACAAUGCACGAGCGGCAGCCAUGUGUUGAGCCCUGGUUGUCAAGACGCCAGCUGUUUCUUGCAGUGAGUCCAUCUAAGCUACAAUCACUUGAUGUGACAAAGGGGAUCAUCCUGUAGAGAGCGCUGGACUUCGUUGGCGUUUUUCAAGUCUUGGGGAACAUUCAACGCUGUCGGUGAGUUUGUGAGCCAGAGAAACCACCGAGUGCUGAGUGUACCCUUACGCUUGAGCUCAUACGGGUCUGAAGUUCUCCUUCCCAUGUGUGCUUGACAUUACACACACAUUAAAUCACAGGCGUAAAUAAUAAUGCACACCCACUACAAGUCCAUUUUAUGCCUGUUCUGCUACGACAAAUUCUGUAAAAAAGCUGUUAAUAUAGAAUAAUAUAUUAAAUUAGAUUAAACUGGA